UACGUAGGGGGCAAGCGUUGUCCGGAUUUAUUGGGCGUAAAGAGUGUGUAGGCGGUUUGGUAGGUCCGCUGUGAAAACUCGAGGCUCAACCUCGAGACGCCGGUGGAAACCAUCAGGCUAGAGUCCGGAAGAGGAGAGUGGAAUUCCUGGUGUAGCGGUGAAAUGCGCAGAUAUCAGGAAGAACACCCGUGGCUAAGGCGGCUCUCUAGUACGGUACUGACGCUGAGACGCGAAGCGUGGGAGCGAACAGG
rnacentral:rRNA from 1 species